rnacentral:lncRNA from 1 species
CAACUUACAGUGACUGAUCCAUUUCCUCUCUAUAGGGUGGAAGUGCUGAGAGAGAAAGUUGUUUUCGUCAUAAACGAUUACUUCUAUUAUUUGGUUCAUGGUAAAAAAAGCUACAGUCGAAAUUCGAGUUAACCUGAAACGACGUAGUUGACUUCGACCCAUCGUGAGCCGAAGUUAAUUACGGUGGAGAGAGGCGAAGAAAAAAUAAUAAAAUAAUAUACUAAGUAAAAAUAGUUAUAUUUAAAUAUAUUUAAUUAUGAUACUAAUUACUUUGUUAUUCAGAUGCCGUAUUUAAAAUAUGAUAAAAAUUAAUUAGUUAAGUUAUAAUAUUUUUUUAUUUAGUUUGUAUAUUUAAAUAUGAUAAAAAUUGAAUAAUUAAGUAUUAAUAAUUUUUUUUUUUUGCUUUAUAAUUUUAUUGUUGUAUUAUUAUAAUUUAUGUAUAAAAAAUAAUUUAAUUAUUUUAAAUNUUAUUUAUUAAAUUAUUUAUUUUUAUUAUAUUUAUAUAAAAUUUAUACAUAAAUUAUAUUUUUACACCACACACUUUCCACUAAAUAAUUAAAUUAUUUAUUAUUUAUACAUAAAUUAUAUUUUUACACCACACACUUUCUACAAAAUAAAGAGCAAAAUUAAUGAAAUUUUACUUUCAUAACUACGAAAGAAACAGCGAAAAAAAAAAUAGUUUUCACCGCAGUCUACUUCAACCGAAGUCUAGUUUCAGUUAAACAAACAUGAACUUAAGCCCAUUUUAAUGGAUGGUUGAGAUUACUAUCGGGUCCAUGUGGAACACGCUAGUAGAGACUAGAGAAUCCAUUUCCUCUACCUCGUAUAGAACAGGUUUUUAAUGACCUAACAAUGGAGCGGGGUACCGACCAUCCCUAAAGCAAGUGGCGAAGGGCUUGGUGGUUGGUAUUCGAGAUCCAAAUUCGAAUCCUAGUUGAUUCACAUUUCCAGCUAAAUUUAUUUCUAAAUGAAAUAAACGAAGCGGGUAGCGUACUACCUAUCUCUCAAAAAAAAAAAAAAAAUUAAU